rnacentral:rRNA from 1 species
CGGCGGACGGGUGAGUAACGCGUGAGUAACCUCGCCAUAAGGAGGGGAAUAACACAGCGAAAGUUGUGCUAAUACCGCAUAAUAUGUAUUUUACCGCAUGAUAGAAUCAUCAAAGAUUUAUCGCUUAUGGAUGGACUCGCGUCUGAUUAGCUAGAUGGUGGGGUAACGGCCUACCAUGGCGACGAUCGGUAGCCGAACUGAGAGGUUGAUCGGCCGCAUUGGGACUGAGACACGGCCCAGACUCCUACGGGGAGGCAGCAGGUGGGGGAUAUUGCACAAUGGGCGAAAGCCUGAUGCAGCGACGCCGCGUGAAGGAUGAAGUAUUUCGGUAUGUAAACUUCUAUCAGCAGGGAAGAAAUGACGGUACCUGACUAAGAAGCCCCGGCUAACUACGUG